UUCAACCCAUGGGAACAAAAACCGUGAAUUACAUUCCUUCCAAUCCGAAAAACGUUUCAGCUCCUAGCACCUUCAAUGCCGAGAAUGCCUCCUUGCAAUGUGACGACUCCACCCUUUUCCCUAGGGCCUAGUGUCAUCCCAUGUAAGGGUGGGGUCCACCCUAAAGGAAACCCUAGGUUGACAAGUGUCUUAGACUAUUGGGUCCAUCACAAAAUUUAAUGGCCCAAUGUGCAAAAGUUUAUCCAAAAAGUUUAAACACUUAAAUUACAAUACAACUAAAAUUUUAGAUGUUUAAUUUGAGAGUCUUGAAUUUAUUUUUGUCUCCUUCCCAAUGCUCCAAAUUGUGUUUCCAAAAUUUUCCCUGAAAAUAAUAAUGCAAAUAAUUAGCUCAGAAAAUUCAAAUUAAUUAAAAUUAGAAUUUCCGGUCAAAUUAAGCAUAACUAGAAAAACGGAAAAAUACCGGACAAUUAAGCACAAUUCCCUGAUUAAUUCUAGCACAAUAAACUAAGUGAAAUCAAUAAAAUAUCGACUCAUCAGUGGUUCACAAUGUGAAUGAAACGCUUUUGAACAUAAGAAAUUGUUUCUCUAGGUUGCAUUCUGAACAUCUCAUAUUCCUGAAUGAAAGUGUUCUUCCUUGUGCGUUUUACAUCCUCUGUUCCUUCGUGAGUGACCUUGAGAACUUCCCACAUUUCCUGUGUUGUCUUACACACUGAAAUUCUAUAGAAUUCAUCAAGUACAAUAGCAGAUGAAAUAAUAUUGCGAGCUUUAAUAUCAAACUAAGCUCGUCUAUCUUCUUCAGCAGUCCAAUUAAAAUAUGGUUUUUCUACUUCUACACCAUCAACUGUGCUCUUAGGAAUAUAAGAACCAUUUUGUACAGCUUCCUAGAUGCCUCCAUAAAAAUUUCCAUUCUGACUUUCUAGAAGGCAUAGUUAUCACCAGUAAAAAGUGGUGGUCUGUUAAUAGAAGCACCCUCGGCAUAUACAAGGUUUUGGUUGUGACCAGCCAUUUUCGCAAAUUUUGAAAAACUAUCAAAGCAAGCUCUGAUACCAAUUGUCGGUACCAGCGGGGUAUGGUUUGAAAAGUAUAACGCAGUGGAAUUAAACUUACAGUAAGCGGAAAACGUGUUCAGUCACUUUUUAAAAUAAGUUGGUCCUUUUUUAAAAUCAAUUUUCUUUCAGAAAAUUUAUCAAACAGUUGAUAUGCGCAAACAGUAAAUAGUGUAGGGAACAGAAAACCACACAAGUAUUUUUAUACUGGUUCGAUUAAACAGAAUCUACGUUCAGUCGUUGAUCACUGUAAAGAGUGAUUAAUAGUUCUACUGAAAAAUAUUUCACAGAUUACAAUAGACAGUGAAAAAAGAACUGAUAAAUAUAAACCUUCCUUCGACGAACAAACCGGAAGAAGAACACUCAGCCAACUCGAAGAGAACCGCUCCGGCAAUCGACCAACGAUUCGCGAGCUUCUCCUAUUCACAAGAGCAAACAAGGGAACUUUGAACUCUAGCUUCUGAGAACUUCCUCUGAUAAACAGUAUAGUAUAUCAGCUGAACAUGUAACACUGGAACUUAUGUACUGUUAUUAAGCAGUGUGUUGUCAUCAUCAAAAACCAGUUUGAUAUAGAGUUUGUGUUGUCAAC
rnacentral:lncRNA from 1 species